CGGACGGGUGAGUAAUGUCUGGGAAACUGCCCGAUGGAGGGGGAUAACUACUGGAAACGGUAGCUAAUACCGCAUAACGUCGCAAGACCAAAGAGGGGACCUUCGGGCCUCUUGCCAUCGGAUGUGCCCAUAUGGGAUUAGCUAGUAGGUAAGGUAACGGCUUACCUAGGCGACGAUCCCUAGCUGGUCUGAGAGGAUGAUCAGCCACACUGGAACUGAGACACGGUCCAG
rnacentral:rRNA from 1 species